AGUGAACGCUGGCGGUAGGCCUAACACAUGCAAGUCGAACGGCAGCACAGGAGAGCUUGCUCUCUGGGUGGCGAGUGGCGGACGGGUGAGGAAUACAUCGGAAUCUACUCUGUCGUGGGGGAUAGCGUAGGGAAACUUACGCUAAUACCGCAUACGACCUACGGGUGAAAGCAGGGGAUCUUCGGACCUUGCGCGAUUGAAUGAGCCGAUGUCGGACUAGCUAGUUGGCGGGGUAAAGGCCCACCAAGGCGACGAUCCGUAGCUGGUCUGAGAGGAUGAUCAGCCACACUGGAACUGAGACACGGUCCAGACUCCUACGGGAGGCAGCAGUGGGGAAUAUUGGACAAUGGGCGCAAGCCUGAUCCAGCCAUACCGCGUGGGUGAAGAAGGCCUUCGGGUUGUAAAGCCCUUUUGUUGGGAAAGAAAUCCAGCUGGCUAAUACCCGGUUGGGAUGACGGUACCCAAAGAAUAAGCACCGGCUAACUUCGUGCCAGCCGCCGCGUAA
rnacentral:rRNA from 1 species